GAUGAAGAACGUAGCGAACUGCGAUAAGUAAUGUGAAUUGCAGAAUUCAGUGAAUCAUCGAGUCUUUGAACGCACAUUGCGCCCCCUGGCAUUCCGGGGGGCAUGCCUGUCCGAGCGUCAUUGCUGCCCUUCAAGCCCGGCUUGUGUGUUGGGUCGUCGUCCCCCCCGGGGGACGGGCCCGAAAGGCAGCGGCGGCCCCGCGUCCGGUCCUCGAGCGUAUGGGGCUUUGUCACCCGCUCGAUUAGGGCCGGCCGGGCGCCAGCCGGCGUCUCCAACCUUCUAUUUUACCAGGUUGACCUCGGAUCAGGUAGGGAUACCCGCUGAACUUAAGCAUAUCAAUAAGCGGAGGA
rnacentral:misc_RNA from 1 species